CACGUAGUUAGCCGGAGCUUCCUCCUUAGGUACUGUCCUUUCUCUUCCCUAACGACAAUAGUUUACAAUCCGAAAACCUUCUUCCUAUACGCGGCGUCACUGCGUCAGAGUUUCCUCCAUUGCGCAAUAUUCCCGACUGCUGCCUCCCGUAGGAGUCUGGGCCGUAUCUCAGUCCCAACGUGGCCGUUCAACCUCUCAGUCCGGCUACUGAUCGUCGACUUGGUAAGCCGUUACCUUACCAACUAUCUAAUCAGACGCAAGGCCAUCUUUUAGCGAAUUGCUCCUUUCCCACUGUUAUCAUGUGAUAACUAUGGCGUAUGCGGUAUUAGCAAUGAUUUCUCAUUGUUAUUCCCCCUCUAAAAGGCAGGUUCCUUACGCGUUACUCACCAGUCCGCCACUAAGACCAUUGUUAUAAAACUCUCAAUCCGAUAAAUCUUCAACCCUUUUUAUAACCGAUCUUCGUUCGACUUGCAUGUCUUAUGUGCGCCGCCAGCGUUUAUCCUGAGCCAGGAUCAAAC
rnacentral:rRNA from 1 species